AUUCCCCUGCCUUACGCGUGAUGUACAGUAUAGUUGAGCCAACACGAACAUCAAGGGACUCUCCGCUGAUCCAUAAAAGAUGCUCCGCUCCGGUGGAAGAACUUGCGUGGAUUACGAGCCUUGUCCCACCUAACUUGUUAGGUUCGAUGUCGCUGUGCACACGGUUAUGGCGGGGGGCUU
rnacentral:other from 1 species